UCGUGUAUUCAAACAAAGCUUGUUUCAGAGCAGGCUUUGUCUUCAUUUAGCUUGAUUGUUAAUUUUGGAAGAUUAUAAAAAGGUACAGAUAUAGGCUGUGCAAGAAAGGGGCUUUGUUGGCCUGCUGAAGAGUGAAAAAUAAAGCCACACUGAGUAAGAGUGGAGAGUAAAAUAAAGCCAGAACAAAACGGUGUGGGGAGGAGAUCUUUAACUCUGAGCUGCAGUCGCAUGCUAUAGUGCAAUCUUUCAUAUGAUGAUGUUUCCAGAAGCCAGUUUUUCGAAAUGGACCACCAUUGCAUUGAGGGUGUAGAAGCUGCAGAUAUGUGAUUCAGUCUGUGGGCCGCCAGGCACCCAAAGUCAUGAGGAAGAAAAUCUUACCAUUGAUGGCAGCUGUCUGCUUCUGGGGCUUCACUGAUUCACCAUGCCUAACAUCAUAAACGUCCUGUCAUUUGAGUAGAUUGUAAAAAAGAUAUUGGCAAACCGAAGAAAAUGGGGAAGACAAGGAAGAGACUGGUUAAAGAGAGGACAAGUGUAAAAAGCAUCUGUCUGAAGAGGAUACUUAAGGUCUUGACAUAUAAUGCAUCAGGCUGGACUUUCUCUCCACUCUGUAAAGCAUCCAAUGAACUGCUGCUGUACAAAUGGAUUUAUAAAAGUCUCAUGAGCAAGGGUUUCUUCUAAUUUGAUUAAGUUUACAAAUUGUCUGACACCUCUGCAUGAGCUGUUUCAGAAAGCUACUGUUUCUUCUGGACUCGAUAACUGUGCAGCCUGCCAGGAAUGCCCCUACUGUUCACAUGUCAGCCGUCCUGCCUUGCCUUGGGCAGGCAUCUUGUUGGAGUUCAAACACUAACAGGUUACAAUUGAUAGCAUGUAAUCCUAACUUUGGGGACAGUAUGAUGCAAAAAUGAAUUGAAGUAUAUUUCCAUUUCCAUCUUUUUGCAACCAAUUUUACUGUUUUCUUAAGGCCAACCUUACUAUAGCUUACAAUCCUGAUUCCCCAGUUGCAAGGAAUGAAGUUUGUAAUUUGCACACUUGGAAAAAAAGGGUUACAAAAGAACAGAUGCAUGUUGUGCGCUGCAAAAUUUUUGGGUUUCCAAUUUCAUACCCCGUGGACUGUUCAUCAGAAGGCUCACAUCAUGGAAAAUGUAUCUGUGAUAUCUUUCAUGUAAGUCAGUAAUAGAGGGAUUAAGUGUUUUUUAUCAAGUCUCAGUUAUUCUGAGCAUGUCAGCUCUUGAAUGCCUCUGUUGAAGUUUACUCGCAUAGUUAAAGUAAGGCACAAAAUUUGUAGGAAUCAGCUCAGAGUAAUACAGAACCUUCCAAAAUUGCUGUUUGAAAAAUGUCCAAAUAGAUAUUCAAAUCAGUAUUACAACAUGAAUCAGAAAUGCUUUCUACAUUAUGCAGCGUACUUCAUGUGACAAGAAUAUCUCCUUUCAGAUACAGUUCUUUUUCAAAGACUGAAAAUCUUCAACUUGAUGGUACUUGAUGGCAAAAGAGUGUUAACCAAAGUAGGGUAUAAAGCUGUUGCUUGUUCACAUUCAAAUUUGAAAUAAUAAUUAAAAAAAAAAUGGAGUGGAGGAAAGAGAACUAUUUAUCAUGUCUUACCCAGUCAAACAAUUUAAACUUGUAAGCACACAUUUAUUCAUGAUCUUAAUACCAUUAGAGCACAGGUGAUUUUAUUCCUGCUGCUUUUUUUCCAUGGGUGCGCUGUCAAAGCUUCCCAGCCACCUUGGUUAAUCCACUCCAUGUGCCAAAAGUAAUUAUCCUGAGUUCUGUGCUGACUGCAACGACGUGAAACUUUGGAAUCUGUGCACCUAUGAUGUCAUCAGGGAGCCAUUAAUGUAAGAGCAGCUUCUGUAGAGGCCUGAAGGUCCGUGUCAAUUCAUCACAUGCCCAAAUACCUCUGCAUGAAAGGUAUCGAUUUAAUCAUUCUGACAGCAGGCCUGUCAGAAAUGUAAUUGUCCACUGAAAGUACAAGUGUGUAAAUGGACAUCCCAGCAAAAGGCAGCAAUCUUUCAAGGUAACAUUUUACAUUAUUCAGAUCAUUCCCGCUUGUUUUCUUCCUCCUCUUGCUGCCAGCCCAAGCCUGUUAUUGAUAUAAAGGUUGAAGCUCAGACAGCUUAACUGUUAUGUGGAAUGACCUUUACUUUUAAUAUUAAUAUAUUAUUGUAAAGUCUAUGAGACUCAUAAAUGCAAUUUUAGAAUUCAUAUGAAAUGCCAUGUGCUGAACCUAUUGCAACUUUUCCUCUAGUCCUGUGGCAGGUUGCAAACUAUGUGAAUUAAUAUGCAUCAUAUUCUUUCUC